rnacentral:rRNA from 1 species
GUACACGCUGUGACUAGCAUAUCAAUAAGCGGAGGAAAAGAAACUAACAAGGAUUCCCCUAGUAACGGCGAGUGAAGCGGGAAGAGCUCAAAUUUGAAAUCUUAAAGGGUUUCCCUUACGAAUUGUAGUUUAAAGAAGUGUUUUCUGUUGAGGUUUUGGUAAAAGUUCUUUGGAAUAGGACAUCAUAGAGGGUGAGAAUCCCGUAUUUGACCUUUACUUUCAACUUUGUGAUACACUUUCAAAGAGUCGGAUUGUUUGGGAAUGCAGUCCAAAAUGGGUGGUAAAUUUCAUCUAAAGCUAAAUAUUGGCGAGAGACCGAUAGCGAACAAGUACCGUGAGGGAAAGAUGAAAAGAACUUUGAAAAGAGAGUUAAACAGUACGUGAAAUUGUCAAAAGGGAAGCGUUUGACACCAGUGUUGUUUUUCUGAAAAUCAAUUAAAGAACUGUUUAUGCUAAGUUGUUUAGACUUUAUCAGCUAACUGUUUAGUUUUGAGCUUUUCUUUAAUGCACUUUUCAGUUAACAAGUCAACAUCAAUUUCUUUUGCUGUAAAAAAGCUUGAGGAAGGUGGCUUGAGAUUCGUCUUAAGUGUUUAUAGCCUCUUGCCUAUGCAGUCGGAGAGAUUGAGGUCUGCAGCGUAGAUCCUUCGGGGCUAAAUGCAUUUGUGCUAAGUUAUAACAUUUCAUAGACAACUUGUUGACUAUGAUUUGUCUUGUAGCUUACUCGCUUAUGUUAUUUUACCUACGCUUAGGAUGUUGAAGUCAUCGUAUCGCGC